rnacentral:rRNA from 1 species
CCUAUUUGGGUGACAGCGGAGGGAUCUUACCGAGUUUCAACUCCCAAACCCAAUGUGAACCAUACCAAACUGUUGCCUCGGCGGGGUCACGCCCCGGGUGCGUCGCAGCCCCGGAACCAGGCGCCCGCCGGAGGGACCAACCAAACUCUUUUCUGUAGUCCCCUCGCGGACGUUAUUUCUUACAGCUCUGAGCAAAAAUUCAAAAUGAAUCAAAACUUUCAACAACGGAUCUCUUGGUUCUGGCAUCGAUGAAGAACGCAGCGAAAUGCGAUAAGUAAUGUGAAUUGCAGAAUUCAGUGAAUCAUCGAAUCUUUGAACGCACAUUGCGCCCGCCAGUAUUCUGGCGGGCAUGCCUGUCCGAGCGUCAUUUCAACCCUCGAACCCCUCCGGGGGGUCGGCGUUGGGGACCUCGGGAGCCCCUAAGACGGGAUCCCGGCCCCGAAAUACAGUGGCGGUCUCGCCGCAGCCUCUCCUGCGCAGUAGUUUGCACAACUCGCACCGGGAGCGCGGCGCGUCCACGUCCGUAAAACACCCAACUUCUGAAAUGUUGACCUCGGAUCAGGUAGGAAUACCCGCUGAACUUAAGCAUAUCAAUAAGGCCGGAGGAAAUUAAAAUUUAUUACUUUUCAGUUUU